AUCUUAUGUAUAUAAAAACAAGUGCUGUCAGUUGAACGCGUUAUUAACGGUGUUAACGCGAACCCAUUUUAAAACGGCAUUUUUUUAUCGUAAGAUUAACGUUCUUUUUGGUCU